UACGUAGGGUGCAAGCGUUGUCCGGAAUUAUUGGGCGUAAAGAGCUUGUAGGCGGUUUGUCGCGUCUGCUGUGAAAUUUCGGGGCUCAACCCCGAACUUUCAGUGGGUACGGGCAGACUAGAGUGUGGUAGGGGAGACUGGAAUUCCUGGUGUAGCGGUGAAAUGCGCAGAUAUCAGGAGGAACACCGAUGGCGAAGGCAGGUCUCUGGGCCAUAACUGACGCUGAGGCGCGAAAGCGUGGGGAGCAAACAGG
rnacentral:rRNA from 1 species